UACGUAGGGACCAAGCGUUGUUCGGAUUUACUGGGCGUAAAGGGCGCGUAGGCGGCCACUGCAAGUCAGUUGUGAAAUCUCCGGGCUUAACCCGGAAAGGUCAACUGAUACUGCAGGGCUAGAGUGCAGAAGGGGCAACUGGAAUUCUCGGUGUAGCGGUGAAAUGCGUAGAUAUCGAGAGGAACACCUGCGGCGAAGGCGGGUUGCUGGGCUGACACUGACGCUGAGGCGCGAAAGCCAGGGAGCGGAACGGG
rnacentral:rRNA from 1 species